rnacentral:sRNA from 1 species
GCCGGGUGUAGUGGGGUACACCUGUAAUCCCAGAGCUUGGGAGGCUGAGGCAUGAGAAUCACAAGUUCAAAGCCAGCUUCAGCAAAGGUGAGGUGCUAAGCAACUCAGUGAGACCCUGUCUCUA